GAUCAUGGCUCAGGAUGAACGCUAGCUACAGGCUUAACACAUGCAAGUCGAGGGGCAGCAUGGACCCAGCUUUGCUGGGUUUGAUGGCGACCGGCGCACGGGUGAGUAACGCGUAUCCAACCUGCCCUUUACUCCGGGAUAGUCUCCUGAAAGGGAGUUUAAUACCGGAUGUGUUUGUCUUUCCGCAUGGGAGCGACAAAUAAAAGAAUUGAUUGGUUAAAGGAAUGGGGAGUGCGUCCCACUUAGU
rnacentral:rRNA from 1 species